rnacentral:rRNA from 1 species
GUUGGGAAUAUUGCACAAUGGAGGAAACUCUGAUGCAGCAAUGCCGCGUGAGGGAUGAAGGCUUUCGGGUUGUAAACCUCUUUUAGCAAAGAAAAAGAUCUGAUUGUAUUUGCAGAAAAAGCACCGGCUAACUCCGUGCCAGCAGCCGCGGUAAUACGGAGGGUGCAAGCGUUGUUCGGAAUCAUUGGGCGUAAAGCGCGUGUAGGCGGUUUCCUAAGUCUGAUGUGAAAGCCCGGGGCUUAACCCCGGAAGUGCAUUGGAUACUGGGUCACUAGAGGGUAAGAGAGGAAGGCGGAAUUCCUGGUGUAGGGGUGAAAUCCGUAGAUAUCAGGAGGAACAUCAGUGGCGAAGGCGGCUUUCUGGCUUAUUUCUGACGCUCAGACGCGAAAGCAUGGGUAGCAAACAGGAUUAGAAACCCCAGUAGUCC